UAAAGGGCAUAUGGAAGGGGAGGUGUUGUAAGCAUGUUGGGAUGAGUGAUGCUGCAGGCCCUCUCUGUGAGGAGAAAGGACUCUUGAACAUUGGAAGGACUGUUUCUGCCACAGCAGAUUAAACUUAACAGCAGAUUCACUCAGGAGUUAAACAUUUAUUCCUCAUAAUACAUUAGUAUGCCCAUUUACAAAUGGAAAAGGAGUCAUGGGGGAAUUAUGUAAAUUUUUAGACCACUCAGCUAGUCAGAUGUGUGGUGAGGAGGCUGGGGAAUUGGAACCUCCCCUGUGGUUUGGUACUAUCCACAUUUCUUGAUUCUUUUUUCUAAACUCCCCCAUGGCUCAUUGCUGGGGCAGGCACAUCCUUCGAAGUCUACCUCCUCUGCUUGCUGAAGUCAUAACUAUUAGAUUUUGAUUUCCAUGUUGGUGAAAUCUACAGUUUCUCCUUCCACCUCCAGCAAUCACUGCUUUCUCAGAUUACAAAGAACAUGCUGAUGUUGAAGCCUAACUUACCCAUCUGACCCUGACCUUUACCUACCCAGCUGAGCACAGAGAUUUACAUCUAGAGAUGCUCAUUAGCCUGGAGUGGCUAUUGAAGAUGCACUGGGCAGUGAAGUUGCAGGUGCCUGGCCUCACACAUUCCAGAGGUAUUUGGACACUUAAGGCCCCCAAGGGACAGUAGAGCAACUGUCUGUUUUUGUGGACAAAGAACAAGAGCCGGCUAGGGGUCAUUUGUCAUAUAGAAGGUGAUCACCAGAUAUUUGCUGAAGAAAUCAACCCUAACUUUAUUAUUUAAUGGAAGAAAUGUGCCAAGUGUGAUGCUCUGGGAGGCUUCGAUCUUUAUUGCUAGUGACAGCAGGUCUCUCAGAGGCUUCUGUGGCUGGAGACCUGGAGUCAUCUUUCUAAACCCUGUGUCAACAUGGAGAGUCUGCUGGAGGAGAGCAUCAGUGAGCCUGGGCCAAGAUGCCUGUACCAGGUCGCAGAUGCCUACUCCUGCGUGCAUAUAGGGACUGGCCUAUGUGGAGCUCCCUCCAAGGCCACUUCAACAUGAUGGAAUCUAACAGCACCCUGCACAGGGAUCAGAAAACAAAAUGCCACCCAUAGAGAACACAUUCCAAAACACCACGGAAUUCACUGGGGUAGGGGGUGGGGUGGAGCUCCACAGAAUUUACUCCAGGGUGGGGUAGCUUCACAGAAUCCACUGUGGGGGUGCCCUAGCUCUACAGAGCCUGCUCACCCUUGUUUGACUUAUAAAUGUCCUUCUGGCUGAUGGAUCAAGAUACAUUAUAUACAAGUAUA